UGUCCAGCUGUCCCAACUCUUGGCACAAGAAUAUUGAGCUGAUUGACUAUGAAGUGAGAGAGAGAAGCUAUUGCGCCCCUUCAUCACAGUUGUGGACUUUAGAUCAUAAACUGCAAGCUUGGGAAAUGACAAAAUGACAAAUAUAUGCAUGUUUUCAACCUUUUUAUAAGGGAUAGAUCAACCAAAAUGAAAAUGGACUCAUCAUUUACUCACCCCCCAUGUAGCUCCAUAAGUAUGACUUACUAUCUUAUGUGAAAUACAAAAGAAGAUAUUUUGAGAAAUGUCUUUUUUGUUUUUGUUUUUUUGUUGUUGUUGUUUUGUUUUGUUUUUUGGACCCCAACUUUCACUGUAUGGGCCAGGGUUAUUAUAGUUAACAAGUAAUAACCAAGUACAAGUAAUGAGCAGUGUGUAAUGGAGUGCAGCAGAGCAGCAUCAAGAAUAUCAAAUAUUUGGGGGGACGAUUUGGUCACUUAUAAUUAUUGGGGAGGACUUGUCCCCCUCAAUGUCUAUGGUAGUUACAGUCCUUUCGCAAGUAUGGGCUUUAUUUCAUUGACUUCCUGUUUUACAACCAAUGAGAUUCAUUCUCGCGUGUUACGCAUCACAUUUGAGCUUCAGCAAGAACCAAUGAAGUUCAUUCUGGUGUGUUACGCAGCACGACUGAGCUUCAGCAAGAACCAAUGAGGUUCAUUCUCGUGUUACACAUCACAUUUGAGCUUCAGCAAGAACCAAUGAGGUUCAUUCUCGUGUUACGCAGCACGUUUGAGCUUCAGCAAGAACCAAUGAGGUUCAUUCUCGUGUUACGCAGCACGUUUGAGCUUCAACAAGAACCAAUGAGGUUCAUUCUCGUGUUACGCAGCACGACUGAGCUUCAACAAGAACCAAUGAGGUUCAUUCUCGCGUAUUACGCAUCACGACUGAGCUUCAGCAAGAACCAAUGAGGUUCAUUCUCGUGUUACGCAGCACAUUUGAGCUUCAGCAAGAACCAAUGAGGUUCAUUCUCGUGUUACGCAGCACAUUUGAGCUUCAGCAAGAACCAAUGAGGUUCAUUCUCGUGUUACGCAGCACGUUUGAGCUUCAGCAAGAACCAAUGAGGUUCAUUCUCAUGUUACGCAGCACGUUUGAGCUUCAGCAAGAACCAGUGAGGUUCGUUCUCGUGUUACACAGCACGACUGAGCUUCAGCAAGAACCAAUGAGGUUCAUUCUCGCGUAUUACGCAUCACGUUUGAGCUUCAGCAAGAACCAAUGAAGUUCAUUCUGGUGUGUUAUGCAGCACAUUUGAGCUUCAGCAAGAACCAAUGAGGUUCAUUCUCGUGUUACGCAGCACGUUUGAGCUUCAGCAAGAACCAGUGAGGUUCGUUCUCGUGUUACACAGCACGUUUGAGCUUCAGCAAGAACCAAUGAGGUUCAUUCUCAUGUUACGCAGCACGUUUGAGCUUCAGCAAGAACCAAUGAGGUUCAUUCUCAUGUUACGCAGCACGUUUGAGCUUCCAUUUGCUCUCCCGCAUCAAGCAGAUUCGGCUAAGCUUCUGUUUAUGUUCACUGAUCAAAUGUUUUUAAAUGUGAAUAAAAGCCUAAAUUCAA